UUGGCAUCAAUCAAUCACUUGACAUCAAUCAAUCAAACCAUUGGCAUCAAUGACAACAUGAUCCAACAAUUUAUUCCCAUUUCUAUGCAUGUCAAAGUGAAGAAAUUCAACCAAUUGCAGGUAAAUGACGAGAGUAACUAUGACUAUCUUAAGGUAGCCAGAUGCCUCAUCAUCUAAUUAGUGACGCGCAUGAAUGGAUCAUGAACGAUAUUCCCCACUAUCCCUAGCUACUAUAUUCUAGAGAAACCACAUCUAAGAGAAUGGGCUUGGCAGAAUUAGUGGGAAAAGAAGACCCUCAUGUUGAGCUUGACUCUAGUACUAACCCAUU
rnacentral:ncRNA from 1 species